rnacentral:rRNA from 1 species
GCGAGGCGCGGACUACCAUGCAAGUCGAGCGGCAGCGGAAAGUAGCUUGCUACUUUGCCGGCGAGCGGCGGACGGGUGAGUAAUGUCUGGGAAACUGCCUGAUGGAGGGGGAUAACUACUGGAAACGGUAGCUAAUACCGCAUGACCUCGAAAGAGCAAAGUGGGGGACCUUCGGGCCUCACGCCAUCGGAUGUGCCCAGAUGGGAUUAGCUAGUAGGUGAGGUAAUGGCUCACCUAGGCGACGAUCCCUAGCUGGUCUGAGAGGAUGACCAGCCACACUGGAACUGAGACACGGUCCAGACUCCUACGGGAGGCAGCAGUGGGGAAUAUUGCACAAUGGGCGCAAGCCUGAUGCAGCCAUGCCGCGUGUGUGAAGAAGGCCUUCGGGUUGUAAAGCACUUUCAGCGAGGAGGAAGG